AAGUCGUAACAAGGUCUCCGUUGGUGAACCAGCGGAGGGAUCAUUACCGAGUUUACAACUGCCAAACCCCUGUGAACAUACCUAUACGUUGCCUCGGCGGAUCAGCCCGCGCCCCGUAAAACGGGACGGCCCGCCCGAGGACCCUAAACUCUGUUUUUAGUGGAACUUCUGAGUAAAACAAACAAAUAAAUCAAAACUUUCAACAACGGAUCUCUUGGUUCUGGCAUCGAUGAAGAACGCAGCAAAAUGCGAUAAGUAAUGUGAAUUGCAGAAUUCAGUGAAUCAUCGAAUCUUUGAACGCACAUUGCGCCCGCCAGUAUUCUGGCGGGCAUGCCUGUUCGAGCGUCAUUUCAACCCUCAAGCUCAGCUUGGUGUUGGGACUCGCGGUAACCCGCGUUCCCCAAAUCGAUUGGCGGUCACGUCGAGCUUCCAUAGCGUAGUAAUAAUACACCUCGUUACUGGUAAUCGUCGCGGCCACGCCGUAAAACCCCAACUUCUGAAUGUUGACCUCGGAUCAGGUAGGAAUACCCGCUGAACUUA
rnacentral:rRNA from 1 species